rnacentral:rRNA from 1 species
GCUUGCUUGUUGGGGUUGUAGGACACUCUAUACGGAGUUACAAAGGACGACAUUAGACGAAUCAUCUGGAAAGAUGAAUCAAAGAAGGUAAUAAUCCUGUAGUCGAAAAUGUUGUCUCUCUUGAGUGGAUCCUGAGUACGACGGAGCACGUGAAAUUCCGUCGGAAUCUGGGAGGACCAUCUCCUAAGGCUAAAUACUCUCUAGUGACCGAUAGUGAACCAGUACCGUGAGGGAAAGGUGAAAAGCACCCCGGAAGGGGAGUGAAAUAGAACCUGAAACCGUGUGCUUACAAGUAGUCAGAGCCCGUUAAUGGGUGAUGGCGUGCCUUUUGUAGAAUGAACCGGCGAGUUACGAUUUGAUGCAAGGUUAAGCAGUAAAUGUGGAGCCGUAGCGAAAGCGAGUCUGAAUAGGGCGUUUAGUAUUUGGUCGUAGACCCGAAACCAGGUGAUCUACCCUUGGUCAGGUUGAAGUUCAGGUAACACUGAAUGGAGGACCGAACCGACUUACGUUGAAAAGUGAGCGGAUGAACUGAGGGUAGCGGAGAAAUUCCAAUCGAACCUGGAGAUAGCUGGUUCUCUCCGAAAUAGCUUUAGGGCUAGCCUCAAGUGAUGAUUAUUGGAGGUAGAGCACUGUUUGGACGAGGGGCCCCUCUCGGGUUACCGAAUUCAGACAAACUCCGAAUGCCAAUUAAUUUAACUUGGGAGUCAGAACAUGGGUGAUAAGGUCCGUGUUCGAAAGGGAAACAGCCCAGACCACCAGCUAAGGUCCCAAAAUAUAUGUUAAGUGGAAAAGGAUGUGGCGUUGCCCAGACAACUAGGAUGUUGGCUUAGAAGCAGCCAUCAUUUAAAGAGUGCGUAAUAGCUCACUAGUCGAGUGACACUGCGCCGAAAAUGUACCGGGGCUAAACAUAUUACCGAAGCUGUGGAUUGUCCUUUGGACAAUGGUAGGAGAGCGUUCUAAGGGCGUUGAAGCAUGAUCGUAAGGACAUGUGGAGCGCUUAGAAGUGAGAAUGCCGGUGUGAGUAGCGAAAGACGGGUGAGAAUCCCGUCCACCGAUUGACUAAGGUUUCCAGAGGAAGGCUCGUCCGCUCUGGGUUAGUCGGGUCCUAAGCUGAGGCCGACAGGCGUAGGCGAUGGAUAACAGGUUGAUAUUCCUGUACCACCUAUAAUCGUUUUAAUCGAUGGGGG